AAGGAUUAACUUAAAUGACUUCCCAUUGC
rnacentral:piRNA from 1 species